GGGUGUAAGGAAAUGAAGCAUUGUUUGAUUAUUUCUUAUUUAGAUCUGAACAAGUUUUUGGUGGAGUUUUGAUGGCUUAUUGUGAAUUCUGUGUGUUUGUGACUGGGAUGAUCAUGAAAAUAAGUUUAUUGAAGUUGAAGGAAUUCUGAGAAGACAGAUAAAGAUGUCUCUUAUUCCUAGUGUGCAACCUUUCCAUGCAAUAGCCUAUCCAAUUGAUCCAAUGCUUGCACUGGAGAUAAGUCGUAAAUAUGCUGCACACUGCUCUGU